rnacentral:rRNA from 1 species
UACGUAGGGGGCAAGCGUUGUCCGGAAUCAUUGGGCGUAAAGAGCGCGUAGGCGGCCAGAUAAGUCCGGUGUGAAAGUCAAAGGCUCAACCUUUGAAUGCCGCUGGAAACUGUCUGGCUAGAGUCCGGGAGGGGCGAGUGGAAUUCCUGGUGUAGCGGUGAAAUGCGCAGAUAUCAGGAGGAACACCAUGGCGAAGGCAGCUCGCUGGAACGGUACUGACGCUGAGGCGCGAAAGCGUGGGGAGCAAACAGG